GGCGAACGCUGGCGGCGUGCUUAACACAUGCAAGUCGAGCGAGAAAGGGGGCUUCGGCCCCUGAGUACAGCGGCGAACGGGUGCGUAAUACAUGAGCAAUCUACCCUUGAGGCGGGAAUAACCCAGCGAAAGUUGGGCUAAUACCGGAUAAGACCACAAGAGGAAACCCUAGAGGUCAAAGGCAGUUCGUCUUUUGGGGGCGGCCCUUCGAGGAGGAGCUCAUGUCCUAUCAGCUAGNGGUAGGGUAACGGCCUACCAAGGCGAAGACGGGUAGCUGGUCUUAGAGGAUGAUCAGCCACACGGGGACUGAGACACGGCCCCGACUCCUACGGGAGGCAGCAGUGGGGAAUAUUGGGCGAUGGGCGAAAGCCUGACCCAGCGACGCCGCGUGGUGA
rnacentral:rRNA from 1 species